rnacentral:rRNA from 1 species
GAUGAACGCUGGCGGCGUGCCUAAUACAUGCAAGUCGAGCGAACAGAUGAUGAUCUUGCUCCUCUGACGUUAUCGUCUGACGUGUGUUUAACUCGUUUAUAACCUACCUAUAUUUCUGGUAUAUCUUCGGGAAACCUUUUCUAAUACCGUAUAAUAUUUUUAACCUCAUGGUUCUUUAGUUAAUUACGUUUUUGCUGUCUCUUAUUUAUGUUUCCGCGCCGCAUUAGCUAGUUGGUAAGGUAACGGCUUACCAAGGCAACGAUGCGUAUCCGACCUGAGAGGGUGAUCGGCCACACUGGAACUGAGACACGGUCCAGACUCCUACGGGAGGCAGCAGUAGGGAAUCUUCCGCAAUGGGCGAAAGCAUGACGGAGCAACGCCGCGUGAGUGAUGAAGGUCUUCGGAUCGUAAAACUCUGUUAUUAGGGAAGAACAAAUGUGUAAGUAACUAUGCACGUCUUGACGGUACCUAAUCAGAAAGCCACGGCUAACUACGUG